UACGUAGGGUGCGAGCGUUAAUCGGAAUUACUGGGCGUAAAGCGCGCGUAGGCGGACCUGCAAGUCGGGGGUGAAAGCCCGAGGCUCAACCUCGGAACUGCCUUCGAUACUGCGGGUCUCGAGUCCGGGAGAGGUGAGUGGAAUUCCUAGUGUAGAGGUGAAAUGCGCAGAUAUCAGGAAGAACACCUAUGGCGAAGGCAGCUCUCUGGGACGGUACUGACGCUGAGACGCGAAAGCGUGGGGAGCGAACAGG
rnacentral:rRNA from 1 species